rnacentral:rRNA from 1 species
AUUGGUAAUUUUCUAUCUUAAUUAUAUUAUUAACAAGGUUUCUCUAUAUAAUACUUAAUAGAGUUUUGCGUUUCACGAUAGUUAUUAUUAAAGAAUAUUAGUACUUCAUUUUGACGUUCUUCUUUUUAUUAAGUAAUAAAAAGAACCUGAUGAAUGGGAAAGAAGGAUAUUAUUUGUAAUACAUAAACAAAUAAUUAUAUUUAACAUAAAGUAAUUUAUUUAAUCAUCUAACUUUUUGUCUACUUUUAGCUUUUACGUUCUUAUAAAAAGUAGUAAGGUUUUUACUCUAAGGAUGAGAAGAACGUAAAAAUACAAGGAAAUUUUAUUUUAUAAAAAGAUAUAAAAUUCAUAUUGAUAUUAUAAAAAAAGAGUUCACCGCUUUUCAAUAAAAAUAAGUAUAACAUAAAAAGUUAUACUUAUUUUACUAUUAGGAUUUUAUAGUUCACCCCCGCCUGUCCGUUUUGGAAGGGAAAUGUUCUAUUCCGGCCUUCUUUUUAAUUAUAAUAAUGAGGAUGAAAUAAAGAAGGCUUACUACCCUUUUUAAGGCUAAUAUUCCGAGGUUUUAGGUGAGGCAUACAACUACUUCUCUAUAUUUUAUAUAAUAAACAAGUUGAAAAAAUAUGACCAAGGUAACUAAAAAAGAGGCCGCAGGUCUUAAAAAGGUUAUAAAAGGAAAGGGAAAAAGAGAGACUCUUUUUCCCUUUCCUUUGCCUGAAAACGAAUCAUAGAAAUGUUACUAAUAGUAGCCAAUGCUAUGGGACGUUUUUCUUAUAUUACUUUUUUAAAUUAACUACAAUACAAUAUGAGAAGUAAAAGUACUGUAAAUAGCACGGGGCAAUUUUAUUUUACUUUUUUCGCUCCAUUAUAUUUAUUUGUAUAAAAUUAGAAAUAUCAGUAAAUAAAACAAAAAUAACCUCUGUCCCUUUGUCUCUUUUAUUUGUAAUAGAGAAAGCAUAAAGUAAGGCUAAGAUCGUAGACCUUCUCCCUUUUCGUUUUAACUUUAUUAUUAUUUUAAUUAUGUUCCUGAACUUUUAUAUCCACGGACAUAAAAGCCUAAUCCUUGAGGGAUUUAAAAUAAAAAAAAAGGAUAUAAUUAGAUAUGGUUUUAUUUAGUAAUAAAAUAAAUUAGUAUUGCUAAACUUAAUAUGUUAUUCAUACUUACAUUAGCAACCUAUAAUAUAAAUAAACAAAAAUAUAGGUUAUUUGUUAUAUUAAAAUGUUUAUUAUUAAUUAUUAUAAUCAGUAAGAAAUGAUCAUUUUCUUAUUUAUUAGAAUUUACAGAGAGGUGCUUCGUGCUUAAGAUGCUUUCAGCACUUAUCUAUCAUGAUUGUAGCUACCCUACUAUGCUUUAUUUAUACUUUAUAUAUUUAUAGAUUGAAAUCUAUAAGAAUAAAUGGGUAUAGAUAUUAUACAAUAGGUACACUAUUGAAUCAUCUUUAAUGGUCCUUUCGUACUAAUUAAAGGUUCUCUUUCAAUUAUUUAUAUCUUCAGAAGAUAGGGACCAUACUGACUCACGUCGUAUUGACAAAUAUUAUUAUGAAUUAAAAUUUGGUAAGGGAAGAUCAUACGUCUCCCCUAGACCUUAUUAUAUUCAAAGCCUUUGAAUUCCAAUGAUUUACAUCAUUGAUUAGACUAUUUCUUCAAUAAAUUACACUAUAACAAUGUAAUUUAUUGCUGGACACUUUAUAUCGGAUUAUUGCUAAUGCAGCUCACCAAGUAGUCGUUGAACGUUUUAUUCUCUACAAUCUAUGCUUAAUCUAAUUAGAAUUAAGAUUAGAAGGGCAUUGAGAAUAACUUCGCUGCAGAUAAACUAACAAUUAGUUUAGUUUUUCCUGCAAUUCAUCCAGUUUUAUUUGGGCUCAAUACUUUUUUUUUUAUAAACUUUGGUAAGAUUAAAAAUUAAUGAAAACAAAAUACAUAUAAUGUGGGGGGAUCUUAUCUAAAUAGAAUAAAAGUCCUAUACGAUAUAGCAUACUGUUGUGCAUAUGAGGCAUAAGAAUUGUCUGUACUUUUUUUAGUUCACUUUUGGCAAUAGUCAGAAUGUAUUGUUUUUUCUGAUAAGAACCGAUACGGUCAAAUAGAACUUCACAUUGAAUCCCACAACCUUCACGAAUUCUGUUUCGUAGAAUAAUACAUUCAUCAUAUGAAUAAUAAUUAGUGUAAAUACGAAUACGACCAUCUUUAUAAUAAUUACCGUCACCCAUAAUGAAAUGGGCUAGUACUACAGGAUUUAUUUUAAUAUUCUCAGGAAUUAUCUUAAUAUAUUUGUUUUCAUCGUAGCGAUAAAAUGUAUUAUGAUAAUCAUUAAAAAUAGGUAGUGUUUUCGUUUUUAGACGAUAAUUUACAUAUGAUUUUUCUUUUCUAUUAACUGUCACAGUAUAAAUUCCUUUUGAAGAGUAGUCUGAGAAAAGAGAUCUAAUUCAAUUGGCGUAUUCUAGAUAAGAAGAACCAAAGGAAAAAGACAUUCGACAAUUUACUUUUAUUUUCUCAAGGUGAGCAUCACCAAGGAUUUGUCCCGUAAUAAUAUAGUGUAGUUUAUUGUUCAUUUUGUCUGUAUUUUUUAAUCUGGUAAAAUUUAUAAUGUUAUUAUUGUCAUAAGUAAUAAUAAACCCAACUCGCGUACCUCUUUAAUCAGCGAACAGCUGAACCCUUCCAAGCUACUACACCUGGAGGAUGAGAUGAGUCGACCACUUUUCCAUCCAUAAACUAAAUUAGUAUGGACGUUCUAAGUUGCUUAAAAACUUAGAGCUACAAGUUACCAUGUAGAUUAGACUAUAUCUUCAAUAAUACAAAACUAUUUUUUGAAUUCGAAUAGUGGGGCGGGGGUAAUAAUAUACUAAUAUAUAUCGUGGUAGUUUAUAAAUCAUAGAACUAAUAAGAUGUGGUUUAAUCAUAUUAUGCAGAGCAUUCGCAUCUUGAGAUGAAAAUUGUACUAUCCAAUAUUUAUUUUUAUGCGAAAUGACUCGGCUAUGAAAUCCAAACUUAUUAUUAAGUUCUUCACUGAUAAUUGUUGAUCCUUCAUAGCCAAAACUCUGAGUAUGUAGACUUAGUACUCGACCUUCUCGAUGUAGACUACCAUCUCCCAUUAUCCAAUAAGCAAGACUUAUAUCUGAAAUAUUAUUAAAUAUAAUUCCUGAACGUAUUACUUUAGUAUUGGAAUCGGAAUAAAAUAGAUCUCAAAGUUGUGAGAAAGUUUCAUGACUAAAUGUUUUAAACCAAUAACUUUUAAUUUGUCCUUCGAGAGGACCUCUACUAUGAUAACGUAUGCCAGGUUCUAUCAUAAAACAAUACGGUUUAAAAGUGGCAAAAAGAUGAAAAAGGAAAUCCUUUUGAUUAGCUCUUUGUUCAAAUUUCAUCAUAGCUUCGUUACUCUUACGAGACAUUCCUGCAUCAGAUAGAACCAUUCCAAAAGCUAUUUGAUAAAGUUUUUCAGACAUUUUAGGCUGUCUUUUUUUCCAAUCUUGCCAAUAUUUAGAAUUAAGAUGAUAACCAUCACGUAUAUUCUUUAUACCGCGAACAUGUAUUAGAGAAUUAUUACUAGGAUGGAGAAUAAACUCCAUCCCUUUCCCUAUUAUAUUCGUUUUCAUUUUUUUCAUCAGUAAAUAUCGGUUAUUUUAACUCAAGCCGUUUUACACGUAUCAAAAGAUAAGUAAAAUUAGGGUUAGUUAAAACAGACUUACAAACCAAGUUAAGCCGUAUUUAUUUUUAUUGUAUUAUUGUUGGGCGUUCUACUUAUUUCCUAGCGUUACGGAAAUAAGAGGUAAGGAUUAUUGUAGAUACUACUCACCUUCUAGUCGUUGAACGUUACUAUUACAUUAAAUCUGUAUCGUAAUAGUCUUCGCUGCAGAUUGACUUACUAAUGAGUUAAUUAGUAAGAGUUUCCUGCAAUUAACCCAAUUUUAUCUCGACAUUGACUCUUUUUUUUUAUCGAGGUGUCAAACCGUUUGGACAAUAUGAACUCUCGCAAACGAUAAACCUGUUAUCCCUAGCGUAACUUUUAUUUCUUGAGCGAUAAUCAUUCCAUUAAGGAUUACCGGAUCACUAUGUCCUAUUUGCAUAUCUGAUCGAUUUAUCAAUCUUUCAGUUAAGUAUGUUUUAUCAUUAUAUUUUAUUAAAUUAUUCAUAAUUUAUUGGUUUCUGACCAAUAUAUACAUACCUUUGAAGGCCUCUGAUACUUUAUUAGAGGCUACCGUCCCAGUCAAACUGACAAUUUGACAUUUUCCCAAAAUCUUAAAGAGCAUUGCCCUUCUAAUUUAUUUUGGUAAGUUUUUUUGUUCUAUUAAUCAAGGUAUUUCACUGACGUAAAGUAUUUACUCCCUUGUAUUCUACACUUAAAGAACGAAAAGACAAUAUCAAACUACAGUAAAGUUGCAUAGGGUCUUCCCGUCUACCUGAAGACAAACCGCAUCUGCACGGCUAAUUCAAUUUCACUGAGAUACUUGUGGAGACAGCAGAGCCACGUUACCUCAUUCAUGCAGGACCACAUUUAAUGGCCAAGGAAUUUUGCUACUUUCAGAUCCUUAUAGUUAAGACCGCCAUUCACCACAGUGUCGAUUAAUGACAUAAAAUCAUCUUUUUUAUACUAUGUGGCAUCGGGCAGAGUUCACAACUUAUACAAAUACUAAAUGUCUUAGCAAGUUGCUGUGUUUUUGGUAAACAGUCGCAGCUCUCGAUUUUGUGUCACACAUUGUAUGUAUAAAAAUAUACAUAAAAUGGUUAUCCUUAUUGUCGAACGUACGGAUACAUUUUGCCGAGUUCCUUCACAAGUAUUAUCUCUACACCUUAGUAUUCUCUACCUACGAACCUGUGUCGGAUUAGGGUACGGUUUAUAAAAUUUUAUAUAAAUAAGAUAACGUAGCUUCUACAAAGUUUUUUAAAAAAGUUUAGCUACAGUAUUAUUUAGAUAUUAUUUUUAUCAUUAAUUUCUUGAUAUAGGACAGAAGUCUAACUCCCCCCUCUUAUUUUAUUCUCUUUGUCUUUUCAUAUAUAAAAAUGGUAGACGAUAUAGAAUAAAAAGUUUUAAUGUCAUCAGAUAUAUAUGGUCAUAUAUAUGCCUUAGAAACCGAUUAACUCAUAGCAGAUUAACUUAUCUAUGAAACCCUUUCGUUUUCGGUGAGGGAUAUUCUAAUCCCUUUCUACGUUACUCAUGUCAGCAUUUUCUCUUUAGUAUUUUCCAAUUUAUCAAUAAAUACAAAUUUUCAUUAUUAUACUAAAUGUUCUGCUACCCUCAUUUUAUUUUUAUUAUAUAUAUGCCUUUCUCUUACGUUUUUCUUUAAAAAAAAAGAACAGUGUCCUUCUAGGUAAGAAUUAGCAAAAAGGCUGAAAUAAAAUAGACAAAGUAUAGGUAUAUUAUCUAAGACCCAAUAAAUUGUAGACGCUUUUUUCCAAUAUAAUUUACUUAUAGUUAGACCACUGAGUUGUUACACUAUCAUAAAAAGAUGGCUACCUCCAAGCCUACUUAAUGGUUGUAUUAGGAAAAAAACAUUCUUAUUUUCACUAAAUAAUAUUUAGGGACCUUAACUUUUGUUCUGGGCUGUUUCCCUUUUGUCUAUCCACCUUAUCAAGAAUAGACUGUACGUUUAUAAUCAAUUAUUUUUAUUCCGAGGUUAACCAUCAAUGGUAGAAUUUAGAAUCCCCCAAUUUAGUAUAUAAGUUUAUAUAUUAGAAGUUUAAUUCUAGUAUAUAAAUAUAACAUAUGAUGAUCAGUGCUGUACAAAAAAUAAUCUAUUAGCAUGAUUUUUACGUUCUGAUCCCCAAGGGGACUUAAUCUUUUUAAAUAUAUAAAGAGAAUAUCUUUAUAUGUUUAAAAAGUUUAUAUGUAUAUAUAAAAGAACGUAAGAUAGCUUAAGCUAAACAAAAAAAAUAUACUAAUAUUAUAAACAUCCUACCUAAAUAGGUUUCGCAGAAUACCAGCUAUCAACCAAGUUAGAUUAGCAUUUCACCCCUUACUACAAUUCAUCAAAGAAUUUUGCAACAUUCACUUGUUCGGUCAUUAUAUAUUUAAUACCUGAUCAUAGUAAGAUCACUUGGCUUCGGGUCUAAUUUUUAUAACUAAUCUGCAUAAUUAAUUUUAAACUUGUCUCUUCAAACAUGUUCUAGAAUAAAUAAAAAACCUGUAAAAACUUAUCUUAUUAAUCUUAAUCGGCAGAACCGACCAACUUUUUUUAUAUAAAAAAAGCAAAGACAAAAAAGCAAAUUAAUAUAGUAUCCUAUAUUAAUUUUGUUUCGACUAUUUUGCUUAUAUAUACUAAGUAAGUCUAGACAGAACUACACUAUCUCAUAUUUUCUAUAAAAUAUUUAUGCAAUCGCUUUCACUUAGACUAUUUGUCCUGCUAUAAAAAUUAACUCGCUGACCCAUUAUGCAAAAGGUACGUUAUUAUUCUAACUUAUAGAACUUUAACUGCUUAUAAAACUACUAGUUCAGAAUCUAUUUAACUAGUCAUCUACUUACUUUUCACCUUUCACUCACGUUACUCUUCUUUAUUGUUAUACAUGUUAUACUUAGCUUUAGAGGAUGGUACCCCUGUUUUCCUAAAAGGCUGACGUCCUCUUAGUACUUAUUAUUUAAGUAAAAUUAAAAUGAAAUAAUAUAUAAUAUUUCUAUCUUUUUAAUUUACUAUAAUUAAAAAUCUUGUAUAAAUAUGACCUACUAUUCAUUUUAAUUCUCUUCUAAUAUACCGCAGAAAAGGAUUGUGGCCUCUCUACAGAAUUUUUUUGUUGCUUAAUUAUUCUUCUAUAAGUUUUUGUUAUAAUAUAACUUUUUUCCUUACUCAAAUAAAAGCAAAUACCGUUCAAUCUUUGUAUAUAUAUAUGUAUAGACAAAGCCGAUGUAGAUUUACGAACAUUAUAAUAAUACUGGGCUAUAACCUUCUAUGGAAUACUACCUGUUAUUGUUUAUUAAGCCUAAAGAGCUAGUCUUAUUUUCAUUAUCAUAUGAUAAUAAGAUGGGGUAGCCCUUUUUUAUAUAUGGUUAGUUACCCUUUGUAAAAAAGUAAUUCCCCUUUUGAGCUUAAAAUACAUAAACUUAGUAUUUUAUUUAUUUCAAAAUAUUAUAUUAUAAAUCGCUCCGCGGAAAUUUUAUAAUCUAGAUGUGUAUUAAUAAAUUAUUAUCUAAAAAAAGACUUUUAUUUUUAUUCCCACUAUAGAAUAUAGAAUUUAUUAAUAGCUAUUUUGGUUUCACUCACCAUUACUUCCAAAGUCUCGGUUGAUUUCCUUUCCUAUUGAUACUGUAAUGUUUUACUUCUCAACGUAGUAAUGAAUUUAGGUUUUCCUUAGGAUUGUAUAUUAUUCUGAUUAUUUAAUAUACUUUUAGUUUUUUACUUCCUUUUAUUACAUAUAUACUAGGCAUCCCUAAUAGUUUCUUUAAUUACUAAAUAAUAUACUCCAUAUCAUUAUUGAUACUUAUAAUUAUAAAAAUAAUAUUAGUAAAUAAAUAGAUAAUAACUAUCUUAUUAUCUAGCUUUAUACUAAUACCCGUCAUAAUAUUAUAAUGCCUAGGAGAUUAAUUGUUAUUUAAUUUUUACAACAACUAAACCUAAACUUCCGAUAUUGUUAUUAUUAUAAUUAUUGUAUAGUAUUUAGACGGUGUACGUGUUUGUCUCACGCACGGAUUAUAUAUAAAGAGAGGUGAAAGACUCACAACCUAUCUUUUUUAUAUUUAUAUAUAAAGGGAGACUAUUUUUGUAAGAAACACGUGUAAUUAACUAUUAUUACAUUAUAUAAGUAAUAAUAUUAGAAUCAAAUAUAUAUUAUAAUAUAUCAAGAUGUUAUAUUGUACUUUAUAUAUGUAUAUAAAGCAAAGACAUAUUACGCCCAAUACUUUUUUAACUUUAGGAUUUCUAAGUAUUUUAUAAUUAUCUUUUUUAAUAUGUAGAUAUUAAACAAUAAGGUGUAGUCUGUACAAUAUAACACUUAUUCUUUAUGGUGAAAUCUUAUAAAUUUUAUCCGCGGAGCCGACAACUUUCUUCUUUAUUAUUAAUAUUUUAUAUCCUAUCUAAGGAGGGAUAAGGAUUUCUUCUGUAUAUAUAUGAAAAAGGUACCAAAGAUUUUUACACACUUUAACUUUACAAGCUACCUAAAUUCUAUUUAAUAAAACGAAUUAAAUUUAGAGGUGCGAUAACCUGGACCCGAUUUCAAUAGAUACUUUUUAUCCUUAUCCUCCAAAGGCUACGCUUUUUAUCCCUAAAAAUAGAAAGGGAAAAGGCCAAGUAUAGUCGUAAACUCCCUUUCUUUAUGCUUAAAUUUGUGGACGUCAAUUAUAUCUAAAAACGUAAAAGAAGCCCACUAUGGUAAGGACCAAAAUCAUUGUAGAAGGCAUAAAUGAUGUAAAAGAAGUGUUUUGACAUAGGUAUAUACUCUGCUGAUAAAAAUAAAUAAGUUAAAGACUAAAUAAUAUAUUUUAUUACCCUACUUUUUGUUGAUAAUCGCUUACGGCGAAAAAAUUUGAUAUUUUCAAUAUACUAUUAUAAUA